UUGGCUCAGUUGGUGGAGCAUGAGACUCUUGAUCUUAGGGUUGUGAGUUUGAGCCCCACA
rnacentral:tRNA from 1 species